rnacentral:rRNA from 1 species
GCAACGGGAGGAGCGUGCGGUUCAAUUGGAUUCAACGCCGGACAACUCACCGGGAGCGACGGUUAGAUGAAGGCCAGGCUGAUGACCUUGCCAGAUUUUCCGAGAGGUGUUGCAUGGCCGUCGUCAGUUCGUACCGUAAGGCGUUCUCUUAAGUGAGAUAACGAACGAGACCCUUGCCCUUAAUUGCAACCGGUUUCUCAGGAAGCCGGGCACAUAACGGGGACCGCUGACGCUAAGUCAGAGGAAGGAAAGGUCGACGGUAGGUCAGUAUGGCCCGAAUCUCCCGGGCUACACGCGCGCUACAAAGGACAGGACAAUGGGCUCCGACCGCGAAAGCGGAAGGUAAUCCCGAAACCUGUUCGUAGUUCGGACUGAGGGCUGUAACUCGCCCUCACGAAGCUGGAUUCCGUAGUAAUCGCUUGUCAACAUCAAGCGGUGAAUACGCCCCUGCUCCUUGCACACACCGCCUGUCAAGCCAUCCGAGUCGGGUUCGAGUGAGGGUUCCCUUCUUGGGGAGCUCGAACUGGAGCUUGGUAAGGGGGGCUAAGUCAUAACAAGGUAUCUGUAGGGGAACCUGCAGAUGGAUCACCUCCU